CGUGUCGUGCUGGACCGCGUGCUGAGGGUAACGGCCCAGGCAUGGCCUAAGAUUUACUCGUGCCGGGACAGUAGCUUCCUUUCAUUGGCACGGUCCGAUUAAACAUCUACAGUUGUGUCUACACAUGCAAUUCACUCGGCGACGCGUCUCCUAAAAUAUUUUGAUUAAAAAUAAAUUCAUAAGAAAAUGAUUUCACUUUAGGACUCACAGCAACGUCUUUCAUGACAAGAAUAUGUGCUAGUAUACUUUUUAUCUCAAAACUAUUUAUUCAUGACCAAAAUAUGUUGGUGUUAGUGGACUGAUAGAAUGAGCUGUAAAGAUAGGAAUAAAGACGGGAAACGUUUUGGGCCGAAGCGUCGGCCGAAAGUUCUGUCAGUCGUGUACGACCUAUGCGAUCUCAUCUGAGAUGAGAUCUGGCGGCCCUAUUCUCUCGCGUGGUGGGGCGCAUGGCCGAGGGGGGCACCAACGCUCGCCCCUGUGCUGCUACCGCCCGCAUCAUCGAUGCCUGCACCCGUCGACCACCCGCAUCGCCGGUUCCCGCCCCCGUCGGCCGCCCGCAUCGUCGGUUCCAGCCUCCGUCUGUCGUCUUCGUCGCCUGCCGCUAUGGCCGGGCCCGCCCGUAUAUAAGUGUUGUAACCGUUAUCUAAAACAGCUUCAAACGUUGUUGAAAAAAGCUUUAACCGUAGACAGAGAAAACUUCAAUCGGCUCUGCCCAGCAAAAAAGUUGCAACCGUAGUUACAUUUUGCUACUUUCAUAGCAACAGUGUGUGUCCAGCAAAAAAGCUGCAACCGUAAUUACAUUUUGCUACUACCGUAGCAACAGUGUGUGUAUGUACGUGAGUGUGUGUCUCCUGUUGCUC
rnacentral:lncRNA from 1 species